CACAGAAGGAGGCGAUGCGGGGUUGGCCGUGGGACGCGAGGCCGGGCAGCGACGGAAGCGCGGGGAGCCCGAGGCCGGCGGAGCGCGCGGCCUUCCCGACGUCGCCUGCGAUAGGCGAGGCGACGGCGCCCGUUGCUGGGCAGGCGACGGCGCCCGUUGCUGGGCAGGCGACGGUCGGGGCCAUGGAGAUCGAUGCCUUCGGUCAGUGUACGUCUCGCCACCACCACCACUUGCGCUGCGUUAAGCGCGUUCGUCGGAGGCUAAUAACGGCCGCGAGGUUGGUGGGACGGCGUCCUGCGGGAGGUUAGGGAGCGGCCGGGUUUGGGCGCGCAAAGAUAAAGUGGGGAUGCGUGGGAUGGGCGCCACACGAUUGCGUGCGGAAGAACGAUAAGAUGGGGUUUGGGGUGGGUUCUGUAUGGCCUGGAAGUUUCCGUCUAUUGUAUCGGGAGUUUCUGGUGUUUAUCGUCUGAAGACGACCGAUAGGUGUUCAAGGGAGGCCCUCGAGGCUUCAACCAUUAGAUAACGGGGUUAGAGCAUCUAUAACCGGAUAUUUUUAAAGAAAAGCAAUAACAAUCAGAUUACUGCUAGGUUUCUUUCUGUCAGACUAGUCGACCGUUGUAGGAUUAAAAUCACGCCGACCAUGUGAUCUAAUAAGAAGGAGGCUGAGCGUUGGGUAGUUACUUGUCUGCGCUAAUUACGUGAUUCCGGUAACUGACCCCGGUAGCGUAUCUUCCCUGACAUAUUUGUCCUAUGUUAAUAGAUUCAUUUCUUAUCCAAGUAGCAUGACAUUUAUUUUUACGUGGUAGCAAGCAUGGUGCAUGAUAUUUCGUAUCCUCUACACUAAUAUUUGCUUUCAUAUAAAAGGAACUCCUGGUAAUAACAUAUUUUGCGUCAAGAACAUUCUUAUCAUUUUUUUUCAUUGGCUAGAAUUGCAUCCAAGCAAACUAUGGUUUGCCUUCAUCGCAAUAGAAAAAUAUUUUCACUUGUUUCAUAAGCGGCAAUCUCUUGCUUCCAUCGAUUAUAAAAUUGCUUCCAUCCAAAUAAUAAUUUGUGGUGCAAACGGAAUGAUCUUUUCAUACAAAUGAAUUAUUUUUCCUUGCAAAGAAACACGUGGAAGCACAACAUGAAUGAUGAAGCAUUGAACAUAUUAAUCCAGUCUCAACAAAGAUUUAAAAAUCUAUUUUCCAACAAGAGUAAAAUACUAUUACAACACUAUUUUUAUUUCGUCAUGAUCGACAUAACGGCAGGCGCUAGACAGUCUUAUCAUGACAAGAUCCAUGUGCCAUGAGUUGUACAUAUAACCGACAACUUAGAAUAGUGCCUUGUUGUUCUUGCACUCAACUCAUUACAUAUAAUCGGGAAUCUGUAUAACUGAAGCAUUCUGUGAGAAAGAAGGGAGCACACAAGUCAUUGACUCAUACAAAAAUUCACUAGAAGAAGCAAAAUAGUUGUAUAAUAAAAUGCACAAACAGAA
rnacentral:lncRNA from 1 species